rnacentral:rRNA from 1 species
AACGCGAAGAACCUUACCCAGGCUUGACAUCCUCUGACACCCGUGGAAAUACGGUCUUCAUAGCAAUAUGACAGAGAGACAGGUGCUGCAUGGCUGUCGUCAGCUCGUGCCGUGAGGUGUUGGGUUAAGUCCCGCAACGAGCGCAACCCUCGUCGUGUGUUGGUCCGCAAGGAUCUCUCACGCGAGACCGCCGGUGAGAAGCCGGAGGAAGGUGGGGAUGACGUCAAGUCAGCAUGGCCCUUACGUCUGGGGCUACACACGUGCUACAAUGGGUGCGACAACGAGUUCCAAGCUCGCGAGGGUAAGGCAAUCUCUUAAACGCAUCCUCAGUUCGGAUUGAAGGCUGCAACUCGCCUUCAUGAAGUCGGAAUCGCUAGUAAACGCAGAUCAGCUACGCUGCGUUGAAUACGUUCCCGGGCCUUGUACACACCGAGUAUA